GUCCUGGCCUAAGACCCCCAGACUCAGCCCCCACUCAGAGGCCCCCGGUACAAGCAGAAGCACAACAACAGGUGUGGGGCCCUUCUUCCAGCUGGGAGGGCCCCCCUCUAUCUCCUCCACCCUUCAAUGGAUGGGCAAGGCCCGGGCAGACAGACGGUCAAGGAUGCCGCAGGAUUAUCUUAAACCCCGCUCGCCUCCCAGCAUCCCCCUCGAGCACAAUCCCAGCUAAUCUCUCCCCAGAGGAGCAGCCACGUGGGCAGACCAGGCGGCAGCAGCCCGGCGUGUUCCUACCUGCUCCCACCCUGCCCACCACACCCAGGAUCUGUCUGAUUGUCGGUCUCAGCCUCACAGGUUGGCUAACAAGGCCUUUUGUGGACUGACUCCACCCACUCCCUAAUUGGCCUCACAACUUCUACUCCAACCAUGCUAAACCUCCAGUUGAUCCCAAGGUCCCUGGAGCUCUCAUCUCUAAAUAGGUGGUCCUGGAAGCCUGCAAUGCCCUUCAUGCCCAGCCCUCCCUGGCUCCUCACCAAGACCCAGGCCUAGCAGACCUCAUUUAUUCUUCCACCCUCGGCCCCUCUCUCUACUCUGUGAAACCUUCCUUGGCCAGCGCCCUCCCUCCCCCUGGGCCUCCUUCCCCCCGUGUUCCCACAGCACCUGGUCCCAGUGUCUCCUACUGCCAUGCCUCUUCCUACUGCAACUGGUUGCCAUGUCUACACUAUGGGUUCCUUGAGGACAGGACCCCAGUUUUUCCUUUGGCAUCACCAGCACUUUGCACGGUGUGAUCCAUAAGAAUAAUAAAAGCAAGCAGGAUUUUGUU